rnacentral:rRNA from 1 species
UACGGAGGGUGCGAGCGUUGUCCGGAAUCACUGGGCGUAAAGGGCGCGUAGGCGGCCCGGCAAGUCAGUGGUGAAAGCCCGGGGCUUAACCCCGGGUCUGCAGUGGAUACGGGCAGGCUAGAGGUAGGUAGGGGAGAAUGGAAUUCCCGGUGUAGCGGUGAAAUGCGCAGAUAUCGGGAGGAACACCGGUGGCGAAGGCGGUUCUCUGGGCCUUACCUGACGCUGAGGAGCGAAAGCGUGGGGAGCGAACAGG